UUUUGGCCAGCUCUGAAGACUUUGCAUGAUUUUUACUAUGAAGAAAUUUUGAAGGAUUAUUCUGUAUGAACUCUAACUUCCCCUGUUACCUGUUCCAGGUGCGAUUUCUGCCUGACCUGUUCCAGUCCUCUGUAGUGACUCUGGUUACUUCCUGGAUUUUGACUGUACCUGGCAAGCGGGGCUUCUUUCCUGACACUAAUUCUCUCCCUGGCGGUUUUCCCGGAUUCUCCAUGAUGAAAGAUUAGACUCGCCGCUUCUGUUGUGCCUGACCAAGCUUUGCAAUAAACUUUCUUAUUUAACAAGUUC